rnacentral:rRNA from 1 species
UACGUAGGGUGCGAGCGUUAAUCGGAAUUACUGGGCGUAAAGCGUGCGCAGGCGGUUCCAUAAGACAGAUGUGAAAUCCCCGGGCUUAACCUGGGAACUGCGUUUGUGACUGUGGGACUCGAGUGUGGCAGAGGGGGGUGGAAUUCCACGUGUAGCAGUGAAAUGCGUAGAGAUGUGGAGGAACACCGAUGGCGAAGGCAGCCCCCUGGGUCAACACUGACGCUCAUGCACGAAAGCGUGGGGAGCAAACAGG